rnacentral:rRNA from 1 species
GGGUGCAGCAGGCGCGAAAACUUGUCAAUGCACGAAAGUGUGAACGGGCUACCCCGAGUGCCGUCCGCUGAGGAUGGCUUUUCUCCGCUGCAAGGAGGCGGAGGAAUAAGGCGAGGGCAAGUCUGGUGUCAGCCGCCGCGGUAAUACCAGCUCGCCGAGUGGUAGGGAUGAUUAUUGGGCUUAAAGCGUCCGUAGCCGGCCUCUCAAGUCUUUCGUUAAAUCCACCGAUUCAAUCGUUGGAGUGCGGGGGAAACUGCUCGGCUAGGGGACGAGAGAGGCCGACGGUAUUUCCGGGGUAGGGGUGAAAUCCUAUAAUCCCGGGAAGACCACCAGUGGCGAAGGCUGUCGGCUAGAACGCGCCCGACGGUGAGGGAUGAAAGCUGGGGGAGCGAACCGGAUUAGAUACCCGGGUAGUCCCAGCUGUAAACGAUGCAGGCUAGGUGUUAGGGCGGCUACGUGCCGCUCUAGUGCCGCAGGGAAGCUGUUAAGCCUGCCGCCUGGGGAGUACGGCCGCAAGGCUGAAACUUAAAGGAAUUGGCGGGGGAGCA